GACGUAGGGCGCGAGCGUUGUCCGGAUUUAUUGGGCGUAAAGAGCUCGUAGGCGGCUUGUCGCGUCGUCCGUGAAAACCUGCAGCUCAACUGCAGGCUUGCGGUCGAUACGGGCAGGCUGGAGUUCGGUAGGGGAGACUGGAAUUCCUGGUGUAGCGGUGAAAUGCGCAGAUAUCAGGAAGAACACCCGUGGCGAAGGCGGCUCUCUGGGACGGUACUGACGCUGAGACGCGAAAGCGUGGGGAGCGAACAGG
rnacentral:rRNA from 1 species